rnacentral:rRNA from 1 species
AGUGAACGCUGGCGGUAGGCCUAACACAUGCAAGUCGAACGGCAGCACAGUAAGAGCUUGCUCUUACGGGUGGCGAGUGGCGGACGGGUGAGGAAUACAUCGGAAUCUACUUUUUCGUGGGGGAUAACGUAGGGAAACUUGCGCUAAUACCGCAUACGACCUACGGGUGAAAGCAGGGGAUCUUCGGACCUUGCGCGAUUGAAUGAGCCGAUGUCGGAUUAGCUAGUUGGCGGGGUAAAGGCCCACCAAGGCGACGAUCCGUAGCUGGUCUGAGAGGAUGAUCAGCCACACUGGAACUGAGACACGGUCCAGAACCCUACGGGAGGCAGCAGUGGGGAAUAUUGGACAAUGGGCGCAAGCCUGAUCCAGCCAUACCGCGUGGGUGAAGAAGGCCUUCGGGUUGUAAAGCCCUUUUGUUGGGAAAGAAAAGCAGCAGGUUAAUACCCCGCUGUUCUGACGGUACCCAAAGAAUAAGCACCGGCUAACUUCGUG